CAGUAGCCGCGGUAAUACGUAGGGUGCAAGCGUUAUCCGGAAUUAUUGGGCGUAAAGAGCUCGUAGGCGGUUUGUCGCGUCUGCUGUGAAAACUGGGGGCUCAACCUCCAGCCUGCAGUGGGUACGGGCAGACUAGAGUGCGGUAGGGGAGAUUGGAAUUCCUGGUGUAGCGGUGGAAUGCGCAGAUAUCAGGAGGAACACCGAUGGCGAAGGCAGAUCUCUGGGCCGUAACUGACGCUGAGGAGCGAAAGCAUGGGGAGCAAACAGGAUUAGAUACCCCAGUAGUCCCUGUCUCUUAUAC
rnacentral:rRNA from 1 species